rnacentral:tRNA from 1 species
GGCCUAAUGGCCCAAUGGCAAGGCGCUUGACUACGAUAUAACCAGGAGUCGAACCUGGUUCAUUCGGCAUCAAGAGAUUCCAGGUUCGACCCCUGGUUAGGUCA